AGUGUGAUUGCUGGAUCAUAUGGUGAGAGUGUGUCUAAUUUUGUAAGAAAUUGCCAAAUUUUCUUCCAAAGUGGUUGUACCAUUUUGUAUUCUUACCAGCAAU
rnacentral:pre_miRNA from 1 species